GCCCCGUUAGCUCAGUCGGUAGAGCAUCAGGCUUUUAACCUGAGGGCCGUGGGUUCGAGCCCCACAUGGGGCG